rnacentral:rRNA from 1 species
UACGUAGGGUGCAAGCGUUGUCCGGAAUUAUUGGGCGUAAAGAGCUCGUAGGCGGUUUGUCGCGUCUGCUGUGAAAACCCGAGGCUCAACCUCGGGCCUGCAGUGGGUACGGGCAGACUAGAGUGCGGUAGGGGAGAUUGGAAUUCCUGGUGUAGCGGUGGAAUGCGCAGAUAUCAGGAGGAACACCGAUGGCGAAGGCAGGUCUCUGGGCAUUAACUGACGCUGAGGAGCGAAAGCAUGGGGAGCGAAACAGG